rnacentral:rRNA from 5 species
UGUUUAACUGACAUGAUUGUGGGACGUCCUACCGGUGGACUUAGCCUCUAUAUCUUCGGAUUUAGGGGCGGUCCAGCUAAUAUCCCAUCGCGGUGCUUUUCAUCGAGUGUCGAGGUGGGCCGGUACGUUUACUUUGAACAAAUUAGAGUGCUCAAAGCAGGCCAUCCUCGCCUGAAUACUGUGUGCAUGGAAUAAUGGAAUAGG